GUGCCAGCAGCCGCGGUAAUACGGAGGAUCCAAGCGUUAUCCGGAUUUAUUGGGUUUAAAGGGUGCGUAGGUGGCCUAUUAAGUCAGGGGUGAAAGACGGUAGCUUAACUAUCGCAGUGCCCUUGAUACUGAUGGGCUUGAAUUAACUAGAGGUAGGCGGAAUGUGACAAGUAGCGGUGAAAUGCAUAGAUAUGUCACAGAACACCAAUUGCGAAGGCAGCUUACUAUGGUUAUAUUGACACUGAGGCACGAAAGCGUGGGGAUCAAACAGGAUUAGAAACCCCCGUAGUCC
rnacentral:rRNA from 1 species